rnacentral:lncRNA from 1 species
AGUGGGGGAACUUCGAGCUGCCAGGGCGUUGUUGGUUGUUGGUGGAGACUCGCUGCAUGUGAAGUUUGGAUGUGCUGUGAGAAUUGCAGAGGCGGACGUGCUACGGAAGUUUCAUUUGAAGACACGUAGGGAAGGUGAGGUUUCAAAUUUCUGAAGGAGGCCCAGUUGUUUCUUGUAAUUUGUAAGACCAGUUUGGCAUACAAUUCAGUGAUUGUGGAAAGGAGUUUGGUGUACAUGAUGGUGGCUUCGGAUAGUCAGCAUAUUUUCCAGCGCAGGCUGUCCAGAGAAUUGGACUGCAGACAUGUUGGCGCGCCCUGCAAUAUUGGGGUUAGCUAAAGGCUGCAAUGACAUACAUGUGCUGCGCUUUGUCUCUAUAGUGUGUGCUUAGUGCACUCUGAUUUUCUAGGUUUGGAUUUACUGAAAAGGGGUUUCAUGCUUUGAAGUAAAUCUAGUGUCAAGGUUAUGGAUACGACAGUGCUCGUGAAAUCCCUAUAGUUCUAAGCUGAAUGUUGGAAUUACGUGUGCAUGUGUUUAUUAUUCUUAAUCCAUGUAUUCUGGGAAUCCACGCUGGAACGUACACCAUCGUAUUGUUUCCUCACCGUUACCUUCAUUUCCUGCAGAAGUUCCGCACUAGCACGACAAACAUUUUGAAAAUGCAUAACUUCACUGAAUUUGUUUUAAAAGUGAGUUUCCAGUUUAUUGUUUCACACGGACCUUGCAUGCAUUUUUGUACUGUAGUGGCACUUCAGUCGUUGAGUGUUUAGGUGGAUGCUAUCAUUGUUCUUCCUGCUUCCGUAAAUCAUUUUUUUUAAGGUUUUUUUUAUUUAUAGAUACGGUCAUAAAAAGUUUGACAUAUGUACAAUUGUCUUCAAGUGAAUCGUGGCAUUAUUAUUUCAAAUUGCUAGAACUUUUAAUAGAAUGUAGAUGUUUACAAUUUGUAGAAGGUGUUACAAAUAUGUCAGAAUUAUUGCAUUUUGGUAUGAU